GAGGGGCUCGCGGCCUAUCAGCUAGUUGGCGGUGUAAUGGACCACCAAGGCUAUGACGGGUAGCUGGUCUGAGAGGAUGGCCAGCCACAUUGGGACUGAGAGACGGCCCAGACUCCUACGGGAGGCAGCAGUGGGGAAUCUUGCGCAAUGGCCGAAAGGCUGACGCAGCGACGCCGCGUGCGGGAAGAAGGCCUUCGGGUUGUAAACCGCUUUCAGGAGGGACGAAGCCACUCGGGUUAAUAGCCCAGAGGGUGACGGUACCUUCAGAAGAAGCCCCGGCUAACUACGUGCCAGCAGCCGCGGUAAUACGUAGGGGGCAAGCGUUGUCCGGAUUUAUUGGGCGUAAAGAGCGUGUAGGCGGCCAGGUAGGUCAGCUGUGAAAACUCGAGGCUUAACCUCGAGACGCCGGCUGAAACCAUCUGGCUAGAGUCCGGAAGAGGAGAAUGGAAUUCCUAGUGUAGCGGUGAAAUGCGCAGAUAUCAGGAAG
rnacentral:rRNA from 1 species